UGUCUUGAAAAAUUAGCAAAACAUAUAUGAAAAAGUACAUAUCACAGAUAUAAAAGCACCAGUAAAAUAAAAUAUAUUCAUAAUCGUGUAUUGAAAAGUACCAAAACAUAAGUUAAGGUCCUAAAAUACCUUAUAAAUUACAUUCAAACAAUUCCCUUUAAUUUUUCUCGCAGUCACAUAAGAAAAAAUAAUAUCUCAUAUUUACAGAUAACGCAACUCAAAAAAUAAAGUAGAAGAGAAAGGCUCCACAUGCUGCCACCUCACCUCUCCUAUCUCCAUAUCGUGCCACGUGUCAAGCAGAGACAACUUCUUCUUUACUCUUUUGCUUUAAACACACGAUUUUCUCUUUCUUUUCUCUUUGGGUUUUCUGUUUAUUUAUCGAGCGGCCCGUUUCUUUUUUAAGGUUAGCUAUAUCGUCGUCAUCUGAAAGCCAUCGCCAUCUAUCGUCCCCAAUCACGUAUUCCUGUAACGUCUUUCAUAUUUAUUAAAAUGAAACUUUAAUUCAAUCAUUAAGUUUUACCCCACCUCUCUUCCACUCCGCCUCAUUUAUUCUCAUUAACAAUCGGUGUUUGUAACAUAUCCAAGGUCGAGUUAUAAAUAGGUGUUUUGGAGCGAUGAAGAUUUGCGCUAUUGAGAUUUUAAGUUAAUAAGUGGGUUAUUAUCUCUUUUUAGAAAAGAGAUCAAUUCCACCAGUUUAUCUAUUUCUUUGCUUCAAAGAGUUUAGACUCUAAGCUUUCUAUAUUUUGAUUUUAAAAAAUAAAUGAAAAGAAAAAACCAAAAAGAGGUAAUUUUGAUUUGCCCAAAUAAAUCCAUAUUGCUUUAACUGUCUUGAAAAAUUAGCAAAACAUAUAUGAAAAAGUACAUAUCACAGAUAUAAAAGCACCAGUAAAAUAAAAUAUAUUCAUAAUCGUGUAUUGAAAAGUACCAAAACAUAAGUUAAGGUCCUAAAAUACCUUAUAAAUUACAUUCAAACAAUUCCCUUUAAUUUUUCUCGCAGUCACAUAAGAAAAAAUAAUAUCUCAUAUUUACAGAUAACGC
rnacentral:lncRNA from 1 species